UACGAAGGGGGCUAGCGUUGUUCGGAAUUACUGGGCGUAAAGGGCGCGUAGGCGGUGUGUCAAGUCAGGCGUGAAAGCCCCGGGCUCAACCUGGGAACCGCGCUUGAGACUGGCACGCUCGAGUUCGGGAGAGGAUGGUGGGAUUCCCAGUGUAGAGGUGAAAUUCGUAGAUAUUGGGAAGAACACCGAUGGCGAAGGCAGCCAUCUGGACCGACACUGACGCUGAGGCGCGAAAGCGUGGGGAGCAAACAGG
rnacentral:rRNA from 1 species